rnacentral:lncRNA from 1 species
CUUCUCCAGGAGACUGAGCAGUGUACCAUCUUCCCCCCAGGAGCCAGGAAGUGAUGCUCAAAGUGAGGACCAGUAGUUCGCCAGUGAACCCUAGCCAUUCUCUGUGACAAUGAGGUCCCAAGCUCCUCCUCUGAUGAGAACACCCAAGUUCAUCAGAGCCAUGAAAAUGGUAGAGUCCUGGCCAAUGGACCUAAGCACCUACAAUACCCUUUGUGGGCUACACUAUUUGGCAGAUCCCAAAGGAGUGAUAAAUGUAAGCAUUCUUUCAGAAGGAAAUUUAAAGAAAGGAUAUCAGCGCAUAUAGUAGAAGUAAUGAAUUAAUAAUUAAAAUUGUUUAAUUUUAUUGUGACACAGACAUAACAAUAGUACUGGCCUUCUGUGACCUGUUUGCCAGCUAGAGUAGAGUUGCAGCUCUUGGAAUAGAAGAGGGUUUUAGUUAAUAUCUUUACAACUAAUAUGCAAUUUGUUUUGGUUUUUAACUAAUUUGUUUUUAAGUAUACUAGAGCGUCAAACAGGAUUCUUGCCUAGAAGCUUCCCAGGGAGGAGGACUUUUUUCCUUGUUUUUUCUUCUGCUCAGGAUGUGCAUGAUAAAACACACAAAUCAUUUGCACUAAACUGCUGGAUCAGGUAUGUUAAGUCCAGGGAAGAUAUCUGUGAAAAGAGUGUCCCAUAUUUUGAUUAAAGGUUAUUUGAUUUGAUAUAGUUAAAUUAAUCCUGACAUAGAAUUUUUCAAUUAACCAACAUUUCUUCUCUAUAAACUUCUAUAUAAAAAGAUUUUGUGUCUUAAAUCUUUGAUGAUGGCAGGAACUCUCAUAAACAAUUUUUUUUCCAAAGGAAAGAAGAAAUUUUGUACUACAGCACAAAAAUCCCAAUCUUAC